CGUCCCGCCGGCGACCGGCGCACGGGUGAGUAACACGUAUGCAACCUGGCCGCCACAGGGGGAUAACCCGCGGAAACGCGGCCUAAUACCCCGUGACGCCACCGGAGGGCAUCCUCCGGUGGCCAAAGGAGCGAUCCGGUGACGGAUGGGCAUGCGGCGCAUUAGCUAGACGGCGGGGUGACGGCCCACCGUGGCGACGAUGCGUAGGGGUUCUGAGAGGAAGGCCCCCCACACUGGGACUGAGACACGGCCCAGACUCCUACGGAAGGCAGCAG
rnacentral:rRNA from 1 species